AGAGAUUUAAGUUAAAAAAACUCUGAGCCUUCAAAGCUCACAAUAUAAAUUAAAACUUUAUAAUCUUUA
rnacentral:tRNA from 1 species